rnacentral:rRNA from 1 species
GGGUGAGUAACGCGUGAGAAUCUAUCUUCAGGUCGGGGACAACAGUUAGAAAUGACUGCUAAUACCGGAUGUGCCGAAAGGUGAAAGAUUAAUUGCCUGAAAUUGAGCUCGCGUCAGAUUAGCUAGUAGGUGGUGUAAGAGACUACCUAGGCAUCGAUCUGUAGCUGGUCUGAGAGGACGAUCAGCCACACUGGAACUGAGACACGGUCCAGACUCCUACGGGAGGCAGCAGUGGGGAAUUUUCCGCAAUGGGCGAAAGCCUGACGGAGCAAUACCGCGUGAGGGACGAAGGCUUUUGGGUCGUAAACCUCUUUUCUCAAGGAAGAUAAUGACGGUACUUGAGGAAUAAGCAUCGGCUAACUCUGUGCCAGCAGCCGCGGUAAUACAGAGGAUGCAAGCGUUAUCCGGAAUGAUUGGGCGUAAAGCGUCCGCAGGUGGUUUUGUAAGUCUGCUGUUAAAGCGUGUGGCUCAACCACAUACAGGCAGUGGAAACUAUAAGACUAGAGUAUGUUAGGGGUAGAGGGAAUUCCCAGUGUAGCGGUGAAAUGCGUAGAGAUUGGGAAGAACACCGGUGGCGAAAGCGCUCUGCUAGGACAAUACUGACACUGAGGGACGAAAGCUAGGGGAGCGAAUGGGAUUAGAUACCCCAGUAGUCCUAGCCGUAAACGAUGGGAUACUAGGCGUUGCCCGUAUCGACCCGGGCAUUGUCGUAGCUAACGCGUUAAGUAUCCCGCCUGGGGAGUACGCACGCAAGUGUGAAACUCAAAGGAAUUGACGGGGGCCCGCACAAGCGGUGGAGUAUGUGGUUUAAUUCGAUGCAACGCGAAGAACCUUACCAGGACUUGACAUGUCGCGAACCCUGCUGAAAGGUGGGGGUGCCUUCGGGAGCGCGAACACAGGUGGUGCAUGGCUGUCGUCAGCUCGUGUCGUGAGAUGUUGGGUUAAGUCCCGCAACGAGCGCAACCCUCGUUUUUAGUUGCCAUCAUUAAGUUGGGCACUCUAGAGAGACUGCCGGUGACAAACCGGAGGAAGGUGGGGAUGACGUCAAGUCAGCAUGCCCCUUACGUCCUGGGCUACACACGUACUACAAUGCUACGAACAAAGGGCAGCUAGUUAGCAAUAACAUGCAAAUCUCAGAAAUCGUAGCUCAGUUCAGAUUGAAAGCUGCAACUCGCCUUCAUGAAGUCGGAAUCGCUAGUAAUUGCAGGUCAGCAUACUGCAGUGAAUUCGUUCCCGACCUGUACACACCGCCCGUCACAUAUGGAAGCUGGUCACGCCCGAAGUAGUUAUCCUAACAGUUCGCUGGGGGAGACUCCGAAGGUAGGGCUGGUGACUGGGGUGAAGUCGUAACAAGGUAGCCGUACCGGAAGGUGUGGCUGGAUCACCUCCUUU